ensembl:lncRNA
GGUUAUGAUAGUGUGUGAUCCAAAAAAUAAGGACUGUAUGGACCGUGUUUGUGCCAAGUGCUGCUUUGAGGAGGUAGAAUUCCCUGAGACAGAGAGCAGCUCAGAAGUCACCUGGGAGCAGUGGAAGAGGGUAACUUCCACAAAUGGAGAGAGAAUGUUUGGCAACAUGGUGAAACAGAUCUAUAGUGGAACCAUCAAGGACUUGAUGGAGCUUUUUUCUCAGAAGUUAGAGUCCUUGGCGAUACAUCAGUUUAACUGGCUGCACCAGGCAGAGCAGUUCCGCUACCUUAAACAAAACAUCACAGGGUGUGAAGCUGUUCUGCAUGUUGACUUCUCAGAGAAUUAUGCAUGUAAGCUGAACACAGAGGUUCAGGCAUUUCACUUUGGAGGUAGCAGACAGCAAGCGACUAUCCACACAGCAGUCCUGUACACUGUGCAUGGAACAAAGUCCUAUGCAACACUCUCUGACAGCCUGCGCCAUGAUGAGCGGGCGGUGUGGGCACAUCUAGAGCCCAUCUUAGGAGAGCUUCGUGAAGCCUUCCCACAGAUCACAACCCUCCACAUUCAGAGUGAUGGGCCGGUUACACAGUACCGGAAUAAAAACAACUUCUACCUCCUCAGUACUGUCCCUUUCCUUUCUGGGUUCACUAAGGUGACCUGGAAUUAUUCAGAAAAGUCUCAUGGGAAAGGGGCCCCAGAUGGGAUUGGUGGGGCAAUAAAAAGAGAAGCAGAUCGCUUUGUCCAAAGAGGUGGUGAACUUCAGACACCACAGCAACUCUAUGAGAUGCUGAGCACAAGAUUAGGCUCAAGCAUCACACACUAUUGGGUAAACAGAGAAAGCAUUGAAAAGUGUGAUGAGCUAAUUCCUGACAACUUGGAGGCUGUGAAGGGCACCUUUAAAAUACACCAGGUUUGGUCUACCCAGCCUUCACAGAUCACUCACAGGACUGUGUCAUGCUUCUGUAGGAAAACAGAGAGGAGUCCAUGCCCUUGUUACAAGCCCGUAACAGUAGACCUGAGAGUGAGACGCACUGUGUGCAAAACUGAGAAUCCCCCAAGCUCUCCUCCUCAACCACCUAGGGAACAAGAAAAUCUAGAUCUUUGUGGCAAGUUUGUUAUUGUCAUUUAUG